rnacentral:rRNA from 1 species
CCUACGGGUGGCAGCAGUCGAGAAUCUUUCACAAUGGGGGAAACCCUGAUGGAGCGACGCCGCGUGGAGGAUAAGGUCUUCGGAUUGUAAACUCCUGUCAUGCGAGAACAAGGUUGCAGGGCUAACACCACUGCAAAUUGAUGGUACCGCAAGAGGAAGAGACGGCUAACUCUGUGCCAGCAGCCGCGGUAAUACAGAGGUCUCAAGCGUUGUUCGGAAUCACUGGGCGUAAAGGGUGCGUAGGUGGCGUGGUAAGUCAGAUGUGAAAGCCCGGGGCUCAACCUCGGAAUUGCAUCCGAUACUGCCAUGCUAGAGUACUGAAGAGGUGACUAGAAUUCUAGGUGUAGCAGUGAAAUGCGUAGAUAUCUAGAGGAAUACCAACGGCGAAGGCAGGUCACUGGGCAGUUACUGACACUGAGGCACGAAGGCCAGGGGAGCAAACGGGAUUAGAUACCCUUGUAGUC